CAGAGGGUUGGAUAGGGUAGUGAGGAGGUAAUGAAGAGGGUUGGAUGGGGUAGUGAGGUGGUAAUGAAGAGGGUUGGGUAGGGUAGUGAGGUGGUAAUGAAGAGGGUUGGAUAGGGUAGUGAGGAGGUAAUGAAGAGGGUUGGAUAGGGUAGUGAGGAGGUAAUGAAGAGGGUUGGAUAAGGUAGUGAGGAGGUAAUGAAGAGGGUUGGAUAGGGUAGUGAGGAGGUAAUGAAGAGGGUUGGAUAGGGUAGUGAGGAGGUAAUGAAGAGGGUUGGAUAAGGUAGUGAGGAGGUAAUGAAGAGGGUUGGAUAGGGUAAUGAGGAGGUAAUGCAGAGUGUUGGAUGGGGUAGUGAGGAGGUAAUGAAGAUGGUUGGAUAAGGUAGUGAGGAGGUAAUGAAGAGGGUUGGAUGGGGUAGUGAGGAGGUAAUGAGGAGGGUUGGAUAGGGUGGUGUGGAGGUAAUGAAGAGGUUUGGAUAGGGUAGUGUGGAGGUAAUGAAGAGGUUUGGAUAGGGUAGUGUGGAGGUAAUGAAGAGGGUUGGAUAGGGUAGUGAAGAGGUAAUGCAGAGUGUUGGAUGGGGUAGUGAGGAGGUAAUUAAGAGUGUUCGAUAGGGUAGUGUGGAGGUAAUGAAGAGGGUUGGAUAGGGUAGUGAGGAGGUAAUGAAGAGGGUAGUGAAGAGGUAAUGCAGAGUGUUGGAUGGGGUAGUGAGGUGGUAAUGAAGAGGGUUGGGUAGGGUAGUGAGGUGGUAAUGAAGAGGGUUGGAUAGGGUAGUGAGGAGGUAAUGAAGAGGGUAGUGAAGAGGUAAUGCAGAGUGUUGGAUGGGGUAGUGAGGUGGUAAUGAAGAGGGUUGGGUAGGGUAGUGAGGUGGUAAUGAAGAGGGUUGGAUAGGGUAGUGAGGAGGUAAUGAAGAGGGUAGUGAAGAGGUAAUGCAGAGUGUUGGAUGGGGUAGUGAGGUGGUAAUGAAGAGGGUUGGGUAGGGUAGUGAGGUGGUAAUGAAGAGGGUUGGAUAGGGUAGUGAGGAGGUAAUGAAGAGGGUAGUGAAGAGGUAAUGCAGAGUGUUGGAUGGGGUAGUGAGGUGGUAAUGAAGAGGGUUGGGUAGGGUAGUGAGGUGGUAAUGAAGAGGGUUGGAUAGGGUAGUGAGGAGGUAAUGAAGAGGGUAGUGAAGAGGUAAUGCAGAGUGUUGGAUGGGGUAGUGAGGUGGUAAUGAAGAGGGUUGGGUAGGGUAGUGAGGUGGUAAUGAAGAGGGUUGGAUAGGGUAGUGAGGAGGUAAUGAAGAGGGUUGGAUAGGGUAGUGAGGAGGUAAUGAAGAGGGUUGGAUAAGGUAGUGAGGAGGUAAUGAAGAGGGUUGGAUAGGGUAGUGAGGAGGUAAUGAAGAGGGUAGUGAAGAGGUAAUGCAGAGUGUUGGAUGGGGUAGUGAGGUGGUAAUGAAGAGGGUUGGGUAGGGUAGUGAGGUGGUAAUGAAGAGGGUUGGAUAGGGUAGUGAGGAGGUAAUGAAGAGGGUUGGAUAGGGUAGUGAGGAGGUAAUGAAGAGGGUUGGAUAAGGUAGUGAGGAGGUAAUGAAGAGGGUUGGAUAGGGUAAUGAGGAGGUAAUGCAGAGGGUUGGAUGGGGUAGUGAGGAGGUAAUGAAGAGGGUUGGAUAAGGUAGUGAGGAGGUAAUGAAGAGGGUUGGAUGGGGUAGUGAGGAGGUAAUGAGGAGGGUUGGAUAGGGUGGUGUGGAGGUAAUGAAGAGGUUUGGAUAGGGUAGUGUGGAGGUAAUGAAGAGGUUUGGAUAGGGUAGUGUGGAGGUAAUGAAGAGGGUUGGAUAGGGUAGUGAAGAGGUAAUGCAGAGUGUUGGAUGGGGUAGUGAGGAGGUAAUUAAGAGUGUUCGAUAGGGUAGUGUGGAGGUAAUGAAGAGGGUUGGAUAGGGUAGUGAGGAGGUAAUGAAGAGGGUAGUGAAGAGGUAAUGCAGAGUGUUGGAUGGGGUAGUGAGGAGGUAAUGAAGAGGGUUGGAUGGGGUAGUGUGGAGGUAAUGAAGAGGGUUGGAUAGGGUAAUGAGGAGGUAAUGCAGAGGGUUGGAUAAGGUAGUGAGGUGGUAAUGAAGAGGUUUGGAUAGCGUAGUGAGGUGGUAAUGAAGAGGGUUGGAUAGGGUAGUGUGGAGGUAAUGAAGAGGAUUGGAUAGGGUAGUGUAGAGGUAAUGAAGAGGGUUGGAUAGGGUAGUGAGGAGGUAAUGAGGAGGGUUGGAUAAGGUAGUGAGGAGGUAAUGAAGAGGGUUGGAUAGGGUAGUGAGGAGGUAAUGAAGAGGGUAGUGAAGAGGUAAUGCAGAGUGUUGGAUGGGGUAGUGAGGUGGUAAUGAAGAGGGUUGGAUAGGGUAAUGAGGAGGUAAUGAAGAGGGUUGGAUAGGGUAGUGAGGAGGUAAUGAGGAGGGUUGGAUAGGGUAGU